rnacentral:rRNA from 1 species
AUUGAACGCUGGCGGCAGGCUUAACACAUGCAAGUCGAGCGGAGAUGAGGUGCUUGCACCUUAUCUUAGCGGCGGACGGGUGAGUAAUGCUUAGGAAUCUGCCUAUUAGUGGGGGACAACAUUCCGAAAGGAAUGCUAAUACCGCAUACGUCCUACGGGAGAAAGCAGGGGAUCUUCGGACCUUGCGCUAAUAGAUGAGCCUAAGUCGGAUUAGCUAGUUGGUGGGGUAAAGGCCUACCAAGGCGACGAUCUGUAGCGGGUCUGAGAGGAUGAUCCGCCACACUGGGACUGAGACACGGCCCAGACUCCGACGGGAGGCAGCAGUGGGGAAUAUUGGACAAUGGGGGAAACCCUGAUCCAGCCAUGCCGCGUGUGUGAAGAAGGCCUUAUGGUUGUAAAGCACUUUAAGCGAGGAGGAGGCUACUGAGACUAAUACUCUUGGAUAGUGGACGUUACUCGCAGAAUAAGCACCGGCUAACUCUGUGCCAGCAGCCGCCGUAAGAC